rnacentral:tRNA from 1 species
GCCGCCAUGGCGGAACUGGUAGACGCAGGGGACUUAAAAUCCCCCGGAGCGUAUCCGUGCCGGUUCGAUUCCGGCUGGCGGCACCA